AAACUGCAGAUGGCUCAUUAAAUCAGUUAUAAUUUAUUUGAUGGUUAACUCACUACAUGGAUACCCGUAGUAAUUCUAGAGCUAAUACAUGCGUAGGGUCCCGACUCUCGCGGGGAGGGAUGUAUUUAUUAGAUCCACAAAACCAAUAUUGUCGGAGCCUUAACGGGUUUCGGCAAUCACCCAAGGUGAAUCAUAGUAACUGUAAUCGGAUCGCAUGGCUCCAUGCCGGCGACAGAUCAUUCAAAUUUCUGCCCUAUCAGCUUUCGACGGUACUGUAGUGGACUACCGUGGCAUUAACGGGUGACGGAGAAUUAGGGUUCGAUUCCGGAGAGGGAGCCUGAGAAAUGGCUACCACAUCUAAGGAAGGCAGCAGGCGCGCAAAUUACCCAAUCCUGACACAGGGAGGUAGUGACAAGAAAUAACAAUACCGGGCCGUCUUACGGUUUGGUAAUCGGAAUGAGAACAAUUUAAAUCCCUUAGCGAGGACCAAUUGGAGGACAAGUCUGGUGCCAGCACCCGCGGUAAUUCCAGCUCCAAUAGCGUAUAUUAAAGUUGUUGCAGUUAAAAAGCUCGUAGUUGGAUUUCUGGUACGGUGUGCCUGAUCCGCCGCCCCUGAGGGUGACAUUUUCUGGAGAGCAUGAUCUACCCUUCAGUGGGCCGGAUCUGCCAUCUGGAUCAUUUACUUUGAAAAAAUUAGAGUGUUUAAAGCAGGCGUUAUUCGCCACUGAAUACAUUAGCAUGGAAUAAUAAGAUAGGACUUUGGUUCUUUCCUUUGUGUUUAUUUUGUUGGUUUCUAGGACCGAAGUAAUGAUUGAUAGGGAUAGUUGGGGGUGCUAGUAUUCAACGGCCAGAGGUGAAAUUCUUGGAUUCGUUGAAGACUAACUAAUGCGAAAGCAUUCACCAAGGAUGUCUUCUUUAAUCAAGAACGAAAGUUGGGGGAUCGAAGACGAUCAGAUACCGUCGUAGUCUCAACCAUAAACUAUGCCGACUAGGGAUGGGUGGACGCUGCAUUUUCGACUCCAUCCGCACCUUAUGAGAAAUCAAAGUCUUUGGGUUCCGGGGGGAGUAUGGUCGCAAGGCUGAAACUUAAAGGAAUUGACGGAAGGGCACCACCAGGCGUGGAACUUGCGGCUUAAUUUGACUCAACACGGGAAAA
rnacentral:rRNA from 1 species